rnacentral:rRNA from 1 species
UACAGAGGGUGCAAGCGUUAAUCAGAAUUACUGGGCGUAAAGCGUGCGUAGACGGUUAUGUAAGUCGGAUGUGAAAGCCCCGGGCUCAACCUGGGAAUUGCAUUCGAGACUGCAUAGCUAGGAUGCGGAAGAGGGAAGUGGAAUUUCCGGUGUAGCGGUGAAAUGCGUAGAUAUCGGAAGGAACAUCAGUGGCGAAAGCGACUUCCUGGUCCAGCAUCGACGUUCAGGCACGAAAGCGUGGGGAGCAAACAGG